AUGGCCACCGGCGCGUCGCGUUACGGCGCCACAACGGAAUCUGUGGACUUCGUGUUGGGGGCCGAGCAGGCGAGGCGUCGCGUGAACGCCUUCAUGUCAGACGCGACAAAGCAGCUCAUCCAUGACAUCCUCCCUCCAGGCUCCGUCCACUCGUCCACGACGGUCGUCCUCGCCAAUGCGCUCUACUUCAAAGGAGCGUGGUCCCAACCGUUCGACGUCUUCACCGCACCGUUCCACAGCCCGGGCGGUAGCAUCACCGUGCGCGUGCCGUCCAUGAAGACAGACCAGUCACAGUACAUCGCGCUCUACCAAGGAUUCAGGGCCCUCAAGCUGCCCUACAAGAAUGAAGUGGAUCAGCAAGCUGCAUUCUACAUGCUUAUCCUUCUCCCAGACAGCGACACUCUCAGUCUCGCCGAUCUCUAA
rnacentral:rRNA from 1 species